rnacentral:rRNA from 1 species
GAUGAACGCUAGCGGGAGGCCUAACACAUGCAAGCCGAGCGGUAUUGUUUCUUCGGAAAUGAGAGAGCGGCGUACGGGUGCGGAACACGUGUGCAACCUGCCUUUAUCUGGGGGAUAGCCUUUCGAAAGGAAGAUUAAUACUCCAUAAUAUAUUGAACGGCAUCGUUUAAUAUUGAAAGCUCCGGCGGAUAGAGAUGGGCACGCGCAAGAUUAGCUAGUUGGUGAGGUAACGGCUCACCAAGGCGAUGAUCUUUAGGGGGCCUGAGAGGGUGAUCCCCCACACUGGUACUGAGACACGGACCAGACUCCUACGGGAGGCAGCAGUGAGGAAUAUUGGUCAAUGGGUGCAAGCCUGAACCAGCCAUCCCGCGUGAAGGACGACUGCCCUAUGGGUUGUAAACUUCUUUUGUAUAGGGAUAAACCUACCCUCGUGAGGGUAGCUGAAGGUACUAUACGAAUAAGCACCGGCUAACUCCGUGCCAGCAGCCGCGGUAAUACGGAGGGUGCAAGCGUUAUCCGGAUUUAUUGGGUUUAAAGGGUCCGUAGGCGGACUUAUAAGUCAGUGGUGAAAGCCUGUCGCUUAACGAUAGAACUGCCAUUGAUACUGUAAGUCUUGAGUAUAUUUGAGGUAGCUGGAAUAAGUAGUGUAGCGGUGAAAUGCAUAGAUAUUACUUAGAACACCAAUUGCGAAGGCAGGUUACCAAGAUAUAACUGACGCUGAGGGACGAAAGCGUGGGGAGCGAACAGGAUUAGAUACCCUGGUAGUCCACGCCGUAAACGAUGCUAACUCGUUUUUGGGCUUUAGGGUUCAGAGACCAAGCGAAAGUGAUAAGUUAGCCACCUGGGGAGUACGCUCGCAAGAGUGAAGCUCAAAGGAAUUGACGGGGGCCCGCACAAGCGGUGGAUUAUGUGGUUUAAUUCGAUGAUACGCGAGGAACCUUACCAAGACUUAAAUGGGAAUUGACAGCUUUAGAAAUAGAGCUUUCUUCGGACAAUUUUCAAGGUGCUGCAUGGUUGUCGUCAGCUCGUGCCGUGAGGUGUUAGGUUAAGUCCUGCAACGAGCGCAACCCCUGUCACUAGUUGCCAUCAUUCAGUUGGGGACUCUAGUGAGACUGCCUACGCAAGUAGAGAGGAAGGUGGGGAUGACGUCAAAUCAUCACGGCCCUUACGUCUUGGGCCACACACGUAAUACAAUGGCCGGUACAGAGGGCAGCUACACAGCGAUGUGAUGCAAAUCUCGAAAGCCGGUCUCAGUUCGGAUUGGAGUCUGCAACUCGACUCUAUGAAGCUGGAAUCGCUAGUAAUCGCGCAUCAGCCAUGGCGCGGUGAAUACGUUCCCGGGCCU